rnacentral:rRNA from 1 species
UACGUAGGGUGCGAGCGUUAAUCGGAAUUACUGGGCGUAAAGCGUGCGCAGGCGGUUCGUUGUGUCGGUGGUGAAAGCCCCGGGCUUAACCUGGGAAUGGCCAUGGAAACUGGCGAACUGGAGUGUGGCAGAGGGGGGUGGAAUUCCACGUGUAGCAGUGAAAUGCGUAGAGAUGUGGAGGAAUACCGAUGGCGAAGGCAGCCUCCUGGGCCAACACUGACGCUCAUGCACGAAAGCGUGGGGAGCAAACAGG